rnacentral:rRNA from 1 species
UCAUCGUGCCAGCCGCCGCGGUAAUACGUAGGGUCCAAGCGUUAAUCGGAAUUACUGGGCGUAAAGCGUGCGCAGGCGGUUGUGCAAGACCGAUGUGAAAUCCCCGAGCUUAACUUGGGAAUUGCAUUGGUGACUGCACGGCUAGAGUGUGUCAGAGGGGGUAGAAUUCCACGUGUAGCAGUGAAAUGCGUAGAGAUGUGGAGGAAUACCGAUGGCGAAGGCAGCCCCCUGGGAUAACACUGACGCUCAUGCACGAAGCGUGGGGAGCAAACAGGAUUAGAUACCCUGGUAGUCCACGCCCUAAACGAUGUCAACUAGUUGUUGGGGAUUCAUUUCCUUAGUAACGUAGCUAACGCGUGAAGUUGACCGCCUGGGGAGUACGGUCGCAAGAUUA